GCCACAUCACAUUGAAACCCCAAUUCUCAUAUGAUCACCGAAGUUACUCAAUGUCGAGCUUGGUCAGUACCUGAAUGGGUGACUGCUGGGGAAUACCAGGUGCUGUAAG